GCCUCGUGAAUUCAUCUCCGGGGGUAGAGCACUGGUUCGGCUAGGGCGCCAGCCCAGCUUACCAGCCCAAUGCAAACUGCGAAUACCGGAGAAUGUUAUCACGGGAGACACACGGCGGGUGCUAACGUCCGUCGUGAAGAGGGAAACAACCCAGACCGCCAGCUAAGGUCCCAAAGUCAUGGUUAAGUGGGAAACGAUGUGGGAAGGCCCAGACAGCCAGGAUGUUGGCUUAGAAGCAGCCAUCAUUUAAAGAAAGCGUAAUAGCUCACUGGUCGAGUCGGCCUGCGCGGAAGAUGUAACGGGGCUAAACCAUGCACCGAAGCUGCGGCAGCGAACGUAUCACUUAAAGCGAUUCAGCGGGUUACGAUUGACGGAGCGAAGCGACGUCAAAGCGUAUACAAAGUCGAGUCGGUUUAAGGAUACGUUCGUUGGGUAGGGGAGCGUUCUGUAAGCCCGUGAAGGUGGCCUGUGAGGGUUGCUGGAGGUAUCAGAAGUGCGAAUGCUGACAUAAGUAACGAUAAAGCGGGUGAAAAGCCCGCUCGCCGGAAGACCAAGGGUUCCUGUCCAACGUUAAUCGGGGCAGGGUGAGUCGACCCCUAAGGCGAGGCCGAAAGGCGUAGUCGAUGGGAAACGGGUUAAUAUUCCCGUACUUGGUGUUACUGCGAAGGGGGGACGGAGAAGGCUAUGUUGGCCGGGCGACGGUUGUCCCGGUUUAAGCGUGUAGGUGUGUGUUCCAGGUAAAUCCGGUUCACUUUAACACUGAGGCGUGACGACGAGGCACUACGGUGCUGAAGCAACAAAUGCCCUGCUUCCAGGAAAAGCCUCUAAGCAUCAGGUAACAUCAAAUCGUACCCCAAACCGACACAGGUGGUCAGGUAGAGAAUACCAAGGCGCUUGAGAGAACUCGGGUGAAGGAACUAGGCAAAAUGGUGCCGUAACUUCGGGAGAAGGCACGCUGACACGUAGGUGAAGUGAUUUACUCAUGGAGCUGAAGUCAGUCGAAGAUACCAGCUGGCUGCAACUGUUUAUUAAAAACACAGCACUGUGCAAACACGAAAGUGGACGUAUACGGUGUGACGCCUGCCCGGUGCCGGAAGGUUAAUUGAUGGGGUCAGCGUAAGCGAAGCUCCUGAUCGAAGCCCCGGUAAACGGCGGCCGUAACUAUAACGGUCCUAAGGUAGCGAAAUUCCUUGUCGGGUAAGUUCCGACCUGCACGAAUGGCGUAAUGAUGGCCAGGCUGUCUCCACCCGAGACUCAGUGAAAUUGAACUCGCUGUGAAGAUGCAGUGUACCCGCGGCAAGACGGAAAGACCCCGUGAACCUUUACUAUAGCUUGACACUGAACAUUGAGCCUUGAUGUGUAGGAUAG
rnacentral:rRNA from 1 species